rnacentral:rRNA from 1 species
UGUCCUCUUGGGGUUGUAGGACCGCUCACGAUGGGAGUGAGAAAGGGACGGGGUAGACGAACCGGUCUGGAACGGCCGGCCAGAGAAGGUGAGAGCCCUGUAGUCGAAACUUCGUUCCCUCCCGAGCGGAUCCUGAGUACGGCGGGACACGAGGAAUCCCGUCGGAAGCAGGGAGGACCAUCUCCCAAGGCUAAAUACUCCCUAGUGACCGAUAGUGCACCAGUACCGUGAGGGAAAGGUGAAAAGCACCCCGGGAGGGGAGUGAAAGAGAACCUGAAACCGUGUGCCUACAAGUAGUCAGAGCCCGUUGAUGGGUGAUGGCGUGCCUUUUGUAGAAUGAACCGGCGAGUGACGAUGGCGUGCGAGGUUAAGCCGAAGAGGCGGAGCCGCAGCGAAAGCGAGUCUGAACAGGGCGUGUGAGUACGUCGUCGUCGACCCGAAACCAGGUGAUCUACCCAUGUCCAGGGUGAAGGCCGGGUAACACCGGCUGGAGGCCCGAACCCACGCACGUUGAAAAGUGCGGGGAUGAGGUGUGGGUAGGGGUGAAAUGCCAAUCGAACUUGGAGAUAGCUGGUUCUCCCCGAAAUAGCUUUAGGGCUAGCCUCGGGUUU